ensembl:lncRNA
AUUAACUUGAUCAACUAAAGAUGGAUGCUCUAAGAUUUGGUUUAAAAUAUUUAACAUAUUUUCUAUAAGAGUGUUGAUUUUAAACAAUAUCAAGGGAAUGCUGAAAAUAAAAGCAUGGGAAAGGAUGUGUAGUUAGUAUGAACGAAGAAAAACAUUGGGUAACAAAUUUAAGUUCGACCAAAUAGAAUUUAAGGCUAAAAUAUAGUUGGCUUAGAAAUGUAUACUUAAGAAAGGAAUAAUGGCCUAUCUGAAAAGCCCAGAGGGUAUGUAGAUAUAAAAAGAGGAAAAAACAUAUUGUAUUAACAGUAUCUUUGAAGUCCACCCUGUGACCUUCAUUGAUUACAUCCCCUACUUACUCCCCCCCAGAGGUAACCACUACUCCAGAUUUGGGGUUUAUUAUUUAUAUGUUUUAUAUUACUUCACAACAGAGUAUCAGACUCAGUGGCUUAAAACAACACAUAUUUAUCAUCUUACAGUUUGUUUGGUGAAGAGGUACAGGCACAGCUUAGCUGUAUCCUCUGCUCAGUCUCCCAAGACUGGAAUUAAAGUGUCAGUCAGACUGUAUUCUCAUCAGAGGCUCCCCUGGGAAAAGGUGUACCUUUAGCUCCUUCAGGUUGUUGGAAGAAUUCACCUGCUAAUGGUGAUAGGACUGAGGCUCUUAUUUUCUUGCUGACUGUGGGACUGGAGUCUCUCUCAGCUCCUGAAUGUUGCCUACCAUGCAAACUUUGUCAUAGGCCCUCCAGCAGCAUGUCAGCCUACCUCAGGGCCAGUAGGAGAAUAUCUUAUUUUAGUUGGUUAAUAUGGAGUCUUACAUAAUGUAGUGUGAUCAUGGGAGUGACGAUUUAUCACCUCUGCCCAUACUCAUAGAUUUUGUUCAUACUACAAGGGGACGGUUAUACAAUGGUGUGACUCAAUGGUGUGACUCAUUAGGAGUUCCCUUCGGGUAUGUCUGGAGUUUGCAUUGAUUGUUUUUUUUAAUCAUAUGUAUACUAGGCUUCCCUGAAGGUGGUGCUGGUGAUAACCCACCUGCCAAUGCAAGAGACUGAGGAGACCUGGGUUCCAUCCCUGGAUUGAGAAGCUCCCUGGAGAAGGAAAUGGUUACCCACGCUAGUAUUCUUGCCUGGAGAAUCCCAUGGACAGAGGAGCCUGGUGGGCUACAGUGCAUGGGGUUACAAAGACUGCAAUUGCUGGGCAGUUAAUGCUAUAAUUGAUGGACACUGUCAGUUGCUGAAAUGGAUGGAAAUUAUUAUUCAAGUUACCAUUGUUAAAUGUCAUAAUCACAUUUUCAGCUACAUCUAAAAAGGAGUGUAUUUUUAUUGCCUCUAUACUAAAACUGUAAUAUAAUUUGGGGGAACAAAUAUACCUUGAGUAUAGAAUAUUAUAAACCUAGAUAUAGGAAGGUCAGUUAACUUUUAAAUUUCCAUCUGUACUGUAUUCAAGUUCUACUGUACCCUCAACUAAUAGCCUUUUAAGAAAAACGCAAAGAAAAAUCGCUAAAAUGAUAAAUAAAAAGAGUAUUUAUUUGUCCCAUAAAGGACUUUAAUUUUAUCUUGGAGCUCUUAAAAUUAUUGAACAUAUCUGAUCAAUUAAAAUAAUGUGUACUUCACCGUGCU